GGAAGUGAGAGAGAAGGGAAAUUAGAGAGAGAAAGUAGAAAAUCAACCAAGUUUAAGGCCCCGAAUCCCAAAGCUCGUGAAGGAAAAAGUGUAGUACAAGUCGUUGUCGUCAUUUUAAGCCCAAGAUCGGACUUGGGGGUGUUGAUUUCGUGGUGACUACCCAAAAGAUUGAAGUUGAAGGGGGUGAAGGACAUUGUGAUACGCCCAAAAGCGGAAGGUUAAGGUAUGUAGAACUUCCAUCCACAUGUGGGAACUUCUAUGUUCUUCCCCAUGAUCCGUUUAGUAAAUUCUAUGAAGUUCAACUCCUAGGGCAUUAAACCCAAUGUAUUGGUAGCCCGUAAUUAUGUAUGUAUGUAUGUACAUGAAUUCCGUAUAUAUGUUCGUUAUUGUGUUCCUAAACCUCCAUUUCGGACAUUAGGAAUCCUAGCUUAAUCCAUGAAUCAUGAAUUCUUCCUCAUGUGUUCUCAUGAUGUUUAUAUGAAAUUGUAAAAUGUUAUUUUACAAAUUACAAGCAUGUUUUCAAGUCAACUACAAACGUAUGAUUAUGCAUUAUGGUAUUUCUCAUGAUCAAGUUUACAAGUUAUUUCAUGAAAAUAUGUUUACAAGUCCUUUCGUGAAAUCAUGAUUUCAAGACAAGUACAAGUUAAUUCACGAAAGUCAUGGGCUUCUUAGCCAACUAUAUUAUUUUCAUGUUCGGGAGUUGUAAUAAUACCGAGAAGGCUCAGAUAGCCUGAAACUACGUAUGCCAACGUAGGAUAAGAAUCGCUCCGCCCAGUAGGACGAUUCCUUCAUAUGUUCCCCAUUGAGGGAUUUGGAUCCAUUCAUGUUAUGUUCAUGUCUCGUGCCCCGGCAAGGUACGAGAUGGCUUAGCUGAUCGGGCAGAGAUCAGACUCCACGCUCCUCCCCGUGGUGGUUUAUGUCGGUAUUACAGAUUAUUACAGAUUACUACAGACUAUCUCAUGCUUCCAGUACUCAGUUUCAGUUUUAAAUUUCAUGAUUUUGUACUCAUGCUCAUGCUCAUGUUCAUGUCCAAGUUUUCAAUUUCAGUUCUUACUAUGUUAUUCCAUGUUCCAUGUUGUUUCUUCCGGUUGCUUUACAUACCAGUACAUUCAAUGUGCUGACGUCCCCUUUUUAUUGCCCGGGGACCUGCAUUUCACGAUGCAGGUACUAAUAUACAGGACGACACAUCUGCUCAGUAGGACAGCAUUCGUAUCAGCUUAUUGGUAAGCCCCAUCUCGUUCGGGGUUUAGUCAACUUUUAUUUUAUGAUUAAUUAUGCAUCUAAAGGUAUGCUGGGGGCCUUGUCCCAGUAAGUAUGUUUUUCAGUCAGACUCAUGAUAGAGGUUUCAUAGACUAGAACAGACAGUUAUGUCAUGUCAGAUAAUCGAAGUCGCAUAGCCAUUUUGGCUCACUCAUGUUUAAACAAGUACUUUAUUAAGUAUUAUGACUUAUUAUGUUUUAUAAAGGCU